GCCCGGGUGGCUCAGUCGGUUGAGCGUCCUACUUCGGCUCAAGGUCAUGAUCUCACAGCUCGUGGGUUCGAGCCCCACAUCGGGCU
rnacentral:tRNA from 1 species